rnacentral:rRNA from 1 species
UACGGAGGGUGCAAGCGUUGCUCGGAUUUACUGGGCGUAAAGCGUACGCAGACGGUGAGGAAGGUCGGAUGUGAAAGCCCUGGGCUCAACCCAGGAACUGCAUCCGAAACCCCCUCGCUAGAGUAUGGGAGAGGGAAGCGGAAUUCCUGGUGUAGAGGUGAAAUGCGCAGAUAUCAGGAGGAACACCGGUGGCGAAGGCGGGUCUCUGGGCCGUAACUGACGCUGAGGAGCGAAAGCGUGGGGAGCGAACAGG